rnacentral:rRNA from 1 species
UACGUAGGGUGCAAGCGUUGUCCGGAAUUAUUGGGCGUAAAGAGCUCGUAGGCGGUCUGUUGCGUCCGCUGUGAAAACUCGGGGCUUAACCCCGAGCCUGCAGUGGAUACGGGCAGACUAGAGGUAGGUAGGGGAGAAUGGAAUUCCCGGUGUAGCGGUGAAAUGCGAAGAUAUCGGGAGGAACACCGGUGGCGAAGGCGGUUCUCUGGGCCUUACCUGACGCUGAGGAGCGAAAGCGUGGGGAGCGAACAGG